rnacentral:rRNA from 1 species
CACGUAGGAGGCGAGCGUUGUCCGGAAUCAUUGGGCGUAAAGAGCGCGCAGGCGGCUUGGCAAGUCGGGUGUGAAAUCCCGGGGCUCAACCCCGUGACUGCAUCCGAUACUGUCAGGCUAGAGGUAGGUAGGGGAGAUCGGAAUUCCUGGUGUAGCGGUGAAAUGCGUAGAUAUCUGGAGGAACACCGGUGGCGAAGGCGGCAUCCUGGACCGGCAUUGACGCUGAGGCGCGAAAGCCAGGGGAGCAAACGGG